rnacentral:rRNA from 1 species
CCCUUAAUACAUGCCAAGUCGAACGAACUCUGGUAUUGAUUGGUGCUUGCAUCAUGAUUUACAUUUGAGUGAGUGGCGAACUGGUGAGUAACACGUGGGAAACCUGCCCAGAAGCGGGGGAUAACACCUGGAAACAGAUGCUAAUACCGCAUAACAACUUGGACCGCAUGGUCCGAGUUUGAAAGAUGGCUUCGGCUAUCACUUUUGGAUGGUCCCGCGGCGUAUUAGCUAGAUGGUGGGGUAACGGCUCACCAUGGCAAUGAUACGUAGCCGACCUGAGAGGGUAAUCGGCCACAUUGGGACUGAGACACGGCCCAAACUCCUACGGGAGGCAGCAGUAGGGAAUCUUCCACAAUGGACGAAAGUCUGAUGGAGCAACGCCGCGUGAGUGAAGAAGGGUUUCGGCUCGUAAAACUCUGUUGUUAAAGAAGAACAUAUCUGAGAGUAACUGUUCAGGUAUUGACGGUAUUUAACCAGAAAGCCACGGCUAACUACGUGCCAGCAGCCGCGGUAAUACGUAGGUGGCAAGCGUUGUCCGGAUUUAUUGGGCGUAAAGCGAGCGCAGGCGGUUUUUUAAGUCUGAUGUGAAAGCCUUCGGCUCAACCGAAGAAGUGCAUCGGAAACUGGGAAACUUGAGUGCAGAAGAGGACAGUGGAACUCCAUGUGUAGCGGUGAAAUGCGUAGAUAUAUGGAAGAACACCAGUGGCGAAGGCGGCUGUCUGGUCUGUAACUGACGCUGAGGCUCGAAAGUAUGGGUAGCAAACAGGAUUAGAUACCCUGGUAGUCCAUACCGUAAACGAUGAAUGCUAAGUGUUGGAGGGUUUCCGCCCUUCAGUGCUGCAGCUAACGCAUUAAGCAUUCCGCCUGGGGAGUACGGCCGCAAGGCUGAAACUCAAAGGAAUUGACGGGGGCCCGCACAAGCGGUGGAGCAUGUGGUUUAAUUCGAAGCUACGCGAAGAACCUUACCAGGUCUUGACAUACUAUGCAAAUCUAAGAGAUUAGACGUUCCCUUCGGGGACAUGGAUACAGGUGGUGCAUGGUUGUCGUCAGCUCGUGUCGUGAGAUGUUGGGUUAAGUCCCGCAACGAGCGCAACCCUUAUUAUCAGUUGCCAGCAUUAAGUUGGGCACUCUGGUGAGACUGCCGGUGACAAACCGGAGGAAGGUGGGGAUGACGUCAAAUCAUCAUGCCCCUUAUGACCUGGGCUACACACGUGCUACAAUGGAUGGUACAACGAGUUGCGAACUCGCGAGAGUAAGCUAAUCUCUUAAAGCCAUUCUCAGUUCGGAUUGUAGGCUGCAACUCGCCUACAUGAAGUCGGAAUCGCUAGUAAUCGCGGAUCAGCAUGCCGCGGUGAAUACGUUCCCGGGCCUUGUACACACCGCCCGUCACACCAUGAGAGUUUGUAACACCCAAAGUCGGUGGGGUAACCUUUUAGGAACCAGCCGCCUAAAGGGGGGACCCGA